rnacentral:rRNA from 1 species
CCUACGGGCGGCAGCAGUGGGGAAUAUUGCACAAUGGGGGAAACCCUGAUGCAGCGACGCCGCGUGAGUGAAGAAGUAUUUCGGUAUGUAAAGCUCUAUCAGCAGGGAAGAAAAUGACGGUACCUGAUUAAGAAGCCCCGGCUAACUACGUGCCAGCAGCCGCGGUAAUACGUAGGGGGCAAGCGUUAUCCGGAUUUACUGGGUGUAAAGGGAGCGUAGACGGCAGCACAAGUCUGGAGUGAAAUGCCGGGGCUUAACCCCGGAACUGCCGUUGAAACCGGAGCGCUAGAAUUCCGAUGCCGUCGGAGGAAUGUGUGGUGUAGCGGUGAAAUGCAUAGAUAUCACACAGAACACCGAUUGCGAAGGCAUCUGACGAAUCGGAGAUUGACGCUGAUGCACGAAAGCGUGGGUAUCGAACAGGAUUAGAUACCCGGGUAGUC